AGCGAACGCUGGCGGCAGGCCUAACACAUGCAAGUCGAACGAACUCUUCGGAGUUAGUGGCGGACGGGUGAGUAACACGUGGGAACGUGCCUUUAGGUUCGGAAUAACUCAGGGAAACUUGUGCUAAUACCGAAUGUGCCCUUCGGGGGAAAGAUUUAUCGCCUUUAGAGCGGCCCGCGUCUGAUUAGCUAGUAGGUGAGGUAAAGGCUCACCAAGGCGACGAUCAGUAGCUGGUCUGAGAGGAUGAUCAGCCACAUUGGGACUGAGACACGGCCCAAACUCCUACGGGAGGCAGCAGUGGGGAAUCUUGCGCAAUGGGCGAAAGCCUGACGCAGCCAUGCCGCGUGAAUGAUGAAGGUCUUAGGAUUGUAAAAUUCUUUCACCGGGGACGAUAAUGACGGUACCCGGAGAAGAAGCCCCGGCUAACUUCGUG
rnacentral:rRNA from 1 species